GUUUGCAUCCCUAACUGUUAGGCACCACAACACAAAGCGUCUUGCUCGAACACGGGCAUUAGAGCCAACAUUUGUGCUUUAAAUGGGUAACAUGUGAAAUAAGGAGAUAUUUAUUUCCUUUAAGUGCCAAGUUUCCAAGAAUUACUAAAAUAAACCACAUAUCAAAUGAAACGAUUUAAAAAUGAAGACAGCUUUUUAAUUUUGCAAA